CCGGCGGCUGGGCGAGGAGGCGGCGGCGGGGGGCGAGCGGGCAGAGCCCCGCCGGGAGAUGCGGUCCCGGCUCGGCCGGCUCCUGACGGUGCUGUGCCUCGGUGCCGCCUUCCCCCUCCUGUGGUUCGCGGCGUGGCAAGGGACCCGAGGAAAUGACUUUGACAUGUACCAAAGCCAGUUCCUGGAACUUCGACAACGACUUCUGUAUGCUGAAAAGGAAAAUAAAAAAAGAUCGCACGAACUGAGCAGUGCCCUAGAUGAAAUUAAACGUGCAGUCGCAAAAAGAGUGAACUUGACAAUAAAUCGUACAGAUGAUAUGAAGUGGAAAGUGUCAAACCUCACCAGAAAGCUCCCCGUGCACCUUACAAACAUGUACUACUAUCUACCUCACCUUCGAGAAUAUGAAGAUGCCAUUUUUCCAAAUGUUAUUUUUGGCCAACAGAGAACAGGAGUCUCACUGGUGAUGGGUAUUCCUACUGUGAAAAGGGAAAAACAACAUUAUCUGAUUGAUACAUUGCAUUCCCUACUGUUUGAGCUUUCUGAAGAGCAAAAGAAAGACUGCGUGAUUAUCGUCUUUAUAGCAGAGGUGAAUGCAGAAUAUGUUAACAGUGUUGCAGAAAGUAUUAAAACCAGCUUCCCCAGAGAAAUCCAGUCUGGAAUCCUAGAGGUUAUUUCUCCUCCUGCUUCUUAUUAUCCAGAUCUUUCCAACGUGAAAAAAACAUUUGGGGAUUCAGAGGACAGAGUAAGGUGGAGAACUAAGCAGAAUUUGGAUUAUAGCUUUUUGAUGCUAUACGCCCAACCUAAGGGAAGGUUUUAUUUACAGCUGGAAGAUGAUAUUUUAGCCAAAUCUGAUUAUUUUCAAAGUAUAAAAAACUUUGCUGCUAAACAGUCCCAAGAGUGGAUGAUUCUUGAGUUCUCCCAGCUUGGAUUUAUCGGAAAAUUGUUUAAAUCAGAAGACCUCCCGCUCAUAGUGGAUUUUUUUCUCAUGUUCUAUAAAGAUAAGCCCAUAGACUGGCUUAUAGACCACCUGCUCUGGGUUAAAGUGUGCAAUCCAGAAAAGGAUGCAAUACACUGUGAAAAGGAAAAGGCAGAGUUACGUAUCCGUGCUAAACCAUCUCUCUUUCAGCACAUGGGGAUUUAUUCAUCAUUGGCUGGGAAGAUACAGAAUUUGAAAGAUAAAGAUUUUGGCAAAAAUGUGCUACAUAAAGCACAUAAUAAUCCACCUGGAAAAGUGGAUACAAGCCUACAAACAUACCAGCAAUAUACCUUGGAAAAAAUUUAUAAAGGAGAAGACUGUUUUUGGGCUUCAGCUCCAGUGGCAGGGGACUACAUCCGCUUCACCUUUUUAAAUCCACUAAAAAUUGAAAAGUACUUCUUCAGAAGUGGAAACAUGGAGCACCCUGGUGACAAACUGUUUAACACAACUGUGGAAGUGUUGCCAGCUGAUGAAAUGCUAAGAAAAGAACUGGUUGACAAUGGAAGUAAAUUUAACUACCCAGCAACCAAAGACGGAUAUUUAAAAAUAGGAGCUUUUGAAAAUGGAAUUGCAGAAGGCAAUGUCAGUCAGUCAAUAGGAAAAAUACAGGCUCUUCGUUUAUCAGUCAAUUCUGAUUCUCCUGUGUGGGCAAUACUUAGUGAGGUACUUAUCAAGACAUCUGAAAACUGAAAAAAAAAAAUAAAAUUUGGACACGUUGCUUGUUAUAGAUUGUUUGAACUCAAGGCUAACGGCAACCAAACACUGCCCGGCUCCUGCAGCACAACUGCCCCCCCAUUCCCCUGCACAAGCACAGCAUCCAAACAGCAGAGGGUGAGAAAGAAGCUGCACCGUAUCCUUUUGUGUGGGUUUGUAUUAAAUGUCUUAAAUUACCGCCGAAUUGUAUUCUUAAUGCAAAAACGUUUCUGUUUCGAAUAAGAUGAAAUUCGUUUUCUUACAUUAAGAAGGUUCAGUUACAGUUCAGAAGGGUGUUUUUUCAAAGACCACCUCUAAUAAUAUUUUUGAUAAUUUACAGUAUUGAUUGUAUACUGUGGUGCUACAUAUAUGUACACGUAGAGAGAUAUAUAUACGUACGUAUGUAUGUAUAUAUUUUUUGGACCAAAUAUUGCAGCCUUCAUUAGGUUAAGAGUUUAGUGCAGGUUAAGAAUUAAUGCAGUAAUCCAGAGUGCUUAGAAACUUGGGUAUGAAAAUGAUAGAAGUGUGGGACUUCUCUUGAUGCCUCAGUUCAGUUCUCUGCGUGUCAUGGCUGUUGGUGCUGUCAGUGAAAUCACACGGUGUCACGGGGAUUAGUGUCAUCUUCAGGAUCUCGUUAAAACGCUUCAGAACGGCAAGUAAACGUGUUGUAAAUCUAUGGGCUGAACUGCCCUCUUAUAGGGCCUGUUUCGCCUGCCAUCAAAAGGUGAAAACUGCAGAAAACGAAGUAGAAGGAGCAUUUCUUGUAGCACAUUUUACUAAUUAAGAGUGUGAUCCAGUAAAAGCUUAAAAAUCUUCUUUUGCCAUUGUUUUCCCUGCAACAGAGCCACAGCUGGGAGCAGAGUCUGCAUUCAGGCGGCCUCACCCUCACUUCUUACGGGGAAGCGUCGCUCUAAGGAGGAAAUUUCAGAGCAAUUAUUAAUCAGUGAAAACACAGAAAAUACUAAGGUAUUUUACGUCACCGUUGCCAUCAGAGAACACACUUCCCAUCAGCUUGACGUCAAUGUGGUUUUAAACACUGACACAGCAAAUAACAAAUGCUUGCACACGCACUGUUCAAGUGACAUUUUUUUUGCUUCUUCCCAAUUCUCCCCCGUGCUAAACAGCCCAUCUCGUGUGCUAUCACUAUUAUCCUUCUCUGUACUCCAAUUAACUGGUUCAGUUAGCCUAGGUACAGCUGGAAAAGCUACAGCUCCAUCUCUAGCUUACAGAAAAUUUUCUUUUUCAGGCACCACUGAUAAAAGAUCUAGAAAUUCCUACCUUUGUUGCGGAGCCACUUGUUGACAUUAAUAUUAUUUACGGAGUAAAAAAGAAUCAGAAAGAGAGAUACUGCACCAGCCCAACAAAACUGAAAUUGCAAAAUACAGAAGUAGCUAACUAGUACUUGAGAUUGGACACAGGUGUUUUAUCACAGCCCUAAUCUCUUGAAACUGUUGCAAUUAACACUUUUAGCUCUUUCACAAACCACCACUGGAAAAAUGGAAAACCCAAAGGAGUUUCAGAUUCCAUGCCAGAUCACCAAGCUCCUUCGGCAGGAAAUUUUACUUCAGUACUUUCACAGAAUCACAGAAUCUUCGUGGUUGGAAGGAGCCUUUGAGAUCCAUUUGAGUCCAACCACAAAAAAUCCAAAACCACACACCACAA